AAGCGCGCGUAGGUGGUUUGUUAAGUUGGAUGUGAAAGCCCCGGGCCUCAACCUGGGAACUGCAUCCAAAACUGGCAAGCUAGAGUAUGGUAGAGGGUGGUGGAAUUUCCUGUGUAGCGGUGAAAUGCGUAGAUAUAGGAAGGAACACCAGUGGCGAAGGCGACCACCUGGACUGAUACUGACACUGAGGUGCGAAAGCGUGGGGAGCAAACAGGAUUAGAUACCCUUGU
rnacentral:rRNA from 1 species